rnacentral:rRNA from 1 species
GUGUCAGCCGCCGCGGUAAUACCAGCUCUCCGAGUGGUGGGGAUGAUUAUUGGGCCUAAAGCAUCCGUAGCCGGCUGGACAAGUCCCCUGUUAAAUCCAACGAUCCAAUCGUUGGUCUGCGGGGGAUACUGUCCGGCUUGGGGGCGGGAGAGGCCGCCGGUAUUUCCGGGGUAGGGGUGAAAUCCUAUAAUCCCGGGAGGACCACCAGUGGCGAAGGCUGUCGGCUAGAACGCGCCCGACGGUGAGGGAUGAAAGCUGGGGGAGCGAACCGGAUUAGAUACCCGGGUAGUCCCAGCUGUAAACGAUGCAGGCUAGGUGUUAGGGCGGCUACGUGCCGCUCUAGUGCCGCAGGGAAGCUGUUAAGCCUGCCGCCUGGGGAGUACGGUCGCAAGGCUGAAACUCAAAUGAAUUGGCGGGG